UAUAUUCAGUACCAUUUGACUUUAUUUUUUAUACUACGUUGGUGGCAAACAAGCAUACGGCCCGCUUGAUGGUAAGCAGUCUCCGCAGUCUAUUGACGCCUGCAACUCUAGAGGAGUUACAUGCGCGUUGCCGACCCUAACACUCCGCACCCUCGGGCCUCGUUGAGUUCUCUGGCAACCUUACUCACCGGCAGGAACACGACACUAUGAGUAGGGUCUAGUGUUAUUUGGCUGCGGUUUUCUACAAGGUGGCUAUUUCUGUAAGGUUGAGCUCUGCUCUAGAUCUGGAAUGACAUCCGCUGUGCUGUGUCCUACCACACAAAGCGAGAUGUAAUUCACAGUGCCCAUACCUCUCUUUUGGACAUAGAUAGAUAGAUAGAUAGAAUACUCUUUAUUGGCACACCUCAUUAAAA